UACGAAGGGGGCUAGCGUUGCUCGGAAUCACUGGGCGUAAAGCGCACGUAGGCGGAUUGUUAAGUCGGGGGUGAAAUCCUGGAGCUCAACUCCAGAACUGCCUUCGAUACUGGCGAUCUUGAGUCCGGGAGAGGUGAGUGGAACUCCGAGUGUAGAGGUGAAAUUCGUAGAUAUUCGGAAGAACACCAGUGGCGAAGGCGACUCACUGGACUGGUAUUGACGCUGAGGUGCGAAAGCGUGGGGAGCAAACAGG
rnacentral:rRNA from 1 species